rnacentral:lncRNA from 1 species
CGGAAGAGUAAUUAGUAUUUUGACAGAGAUCAAUUCAAUAUACUAGUGAAUAAGAAAUCUACAGAAUUUAAUUGCUUUACGAAUGCUUCAUUUAUGCAUUUCCAUGACUAAAUUUUAAAGAAGAUUAACCUUCUGUUUUUUAUUUCUUUCUGCCAAAACACUAUUCCAAGUUUUCAUUUUAAAUUAUAUAUUUUCAUACAUAUGGUAGGGAUGAAAAGAAGUUCAUCUUGGGAUUUGUUUCUGAGUGACGGGUUAUUAAUAUUUUACAAAUCAUGUGAAGUACUAUCUAAUUAUUGUUUCUCUCUUGUACCACUACGUGUCUCUUUGUCAUGAAGUUCUUGCUUCCUGUUGGGUUUUAACUUCGUCAAGAGAAAGAUGUUGCUUUUUUGGUGCGUGUGAAAUGUGUUUUAAUCCUCAGUGUCAUGUAUAUAACAAGUAUAUAUCUAACGUUAAGCUUCCCAUAUUUGUAAUUUGAGUCUGUUGGAAAAAUA